AAGUGUUACAGCUCUUUUAGAAUUUGUCUAGCAGUUUCUCCGGUCUGCACCAGAAAGCCCCC
rnacentral:snRNA from 1 species